GACGAACGCUGGCGGCGUGCUUAACACAUGCAAGUCGAGCGGUAAGGCCCUUUCGGGGGUACACGAGCGGCGAACGGGUGAGUAACACGUGGGUGACCUGCCCUCAGCUCUGGGAUAAGCCUGGGAAACUGGGUCUAAUACCGGAUAUGACUCCACGGUGCAUGUCGUGGGGUGGAAAGCCUUGUGCGGCUGAGGAUGGGCCCGCGGCCUAUCAGCUUGUUGGUGGGGNGAUGGCCUACCAAGGCGACGACGGGUAGCCGGCCUGAGAGGGCGACCGGCCACACUGGGACUGAGACACGGCCCAGACUCCUACGGGAGGCAGCAGUGGGGAAUCUUGCGCAAUGGGCGAAAGCCUGACGCAGCGACGCCGCGUGAGGGAUGACGGCCU
rnacentral:rRNA from 1 species